rnacentral:rRNA from 1 species
UGGGGAAUAUUGGACAAUGGGCGCAAGCCUGAUCCAGCAAUGCCGCGUGAGUGAUGAAGGCCUUAGGGUUGUAAAGCUCUUUCGCACGCGACGAUGAUGACGGUAGCGUGAGAAGAAGCCCCGGCUAACUUCGUGCCAGCAGCCGCGGUAAUACGAAGGGGGCUAGCGUUGUUCGGAAUUACUGGGCGUAAAGGGCGCGUAGGCGGCCUGUUUAGUCAGAAGUGAAAGCCCCGGGCUCAACCUGGGAAUAGCUUUUGAUACUGGCAGGCUUGAGUUCCGGAGAGGAUGGUGGAAUUCCCAGUGUAGAGGUGAAAUUCGUAGAUAUUGGGAAGAACACCGGUGGCGAAGGCGGCCAUCUGGACGGACACUGACGCUGAGGCGCGA